UAUGGAAAAUAUAGGGGAUAUUAAGGAUAGAAGUAGAUGGUAUAAAUAUAUUUAAUAGAAAUUUCAGAAUGAAAAUUUUAAGAAAAUGAGAGUUAGUAUUAAGUGAAUAAGCAUUUCCUAAAAAUUGAUUUAAAAUGGCCUAAGCAGUAUAAAUUAAACCCACAUCUAAAUAUUGUAAUGAGACUGCAGAAGAACAAAGAGGAUAGCAAAAGAGCAAGUAGUAAAUAACUGUGAAUGAUAUAGUAAGAGUGAUGGUAAGAAUGACAGCAAUCUUCUGAAAGGCAAUAAUUGGUGGCAGAGGCCAAUGAAAACUUUUCAGAAUCUGAAAAGUACUUGCCAAAGAUAUUCGCAUUCAUAGAUAUUUUAAAUUUUUAAAAAAUAAAGUUUUUUUUAAAAAAAUCAAAUUCUGGGAGAUUUUGCACCUGACAUUCAGUGAAAAAACUGUGAAAGAAUAUACUUCAGAAUUAUAAAAAAUGAAUUCUGAAGAAAGGAUAAAGGAUUCAAGAUAUUUUGGUGAGGAAAUUUAAUAAAGACCCAAGUCAAUACAAACAGGUGAUGGAAAUUUAAAACAAUACAAUUAAAAGUUAAUGUUUCUAAAUCAAAGAGAACUGGAAAUCAUUCUUAAAUGAGCAUAACAUAUUCAGUUAAAAAAAAAUUAAAAGUCAAUGACUAGGAUAGCUCAUACAAUAUUGCUUUCAGAGUUCCCUUAUGGUACAGCAGGUUAAGUAUCUAGAGUUUUCACUGCAGUAGCUUGGUUUGCUGCUAUGGCACUAAUUCUAUCUCUGGCUCUGAAACUUAAAAAAAAAAAAAAAAAAAGCCUCUCUAAAAGCUUCUCAAACCUGGUGGGUUGCUCAGUUGAUGAAGGCUGCAUUGUCAAAUAAUACCUUUUGCCAAGUUACCUUCCUAUGUGAUCCAGUCCUCUGAUGUACUGAGUAUUGCAACUGAAACUUGAUGGGGAUCAAAAACAAAAUAAACGUGAUCUUGCCCAAUUCUAAACAGUAAGAAAUAAAAGAAAUCCCUUUAAUCAAGAAAGAUCAAGGAGUUCCUGUUGUGGCUCAGUGGUAGUGAACCCAACUAGUAACCAUGAGGCCCUGGGUUUGAUCCCUGGCCUCAGUCAGUGGGUUAAGGAUCUGGCAUUGCUGUGUAGUUGGCAGAUGCAGCUUGGAUCUGGUGUUGAUGUGGCUAUAGCAUAGGCUGGCAGCUGUGGCUCCAAUUUGACACCUAUUUUCCAAUAUCAGUAUCAGAACAAAAGAUACAAGUAAAAAAUUGAAAUUGUGUUUACAGUAAUAAUUAUAACAAGCAGUUCCCCAAGCAUAAAUACAAACUCUGAAUCCUUGAAUUCUUCCAACUGAAUUAACUACUGCCUUCUCUGUGUUUACUAAACCAUUUCCCUAGAUCCCUCUCUAACACAUUUAUGUGUCUGACAAUAAAAUCCAUUAAAAUAUAAUUAUGAAUCAAAACUUAAUUAUAUUAAAAUUUCUGAUAAUAAAUAUAUAUUACUAAGUGGCUUCUAAUUUGUAUGAUUUUUUAAAAAUUAAAUUUCCAGGCAUUGAGAGCAGAAAUUAUUCUUAUUAAUGUGUAUACCUGUUGUUUUGUAUUUUGUAAAUGACUGUACAUUUUAGUACUUUUAAAGGUGUGCAUAUGUAUCUCAGCAAAAAAUAUGUGUUCAAAGUGUUUAAUAAUGAGUUCCCAUUGUGGCUCAGUGGUAACAAACCCAACUAGUAUCCAUAAGCAUGUGGAUUUGAUCUCUGGCCUCACUCAGUGCGUUAAGGAUCUGGCAUUGCCAUGAGCUGUGGUGUAGGUUGCAGAUAUGGUUCAAAUCUGGCAUUGUUGUGGCUGUGGCAUAGGCCAGCAGCUGUGGCUCUGAUUUGACCUCUAGCCUGAGAACUUCCAUAUGCAGUCCUAAAAAAAAAAGAUGUUCAAUAGAUAUUAAUUAGAUGAACAUUCGGAAGUAAUUUAUAAUUAAUGUACAUAAUUUCCUGUUAGAGAUUAUUCAGUAAAAGUGCAGAGGUAUUUUAAUUUAAAAAAUGUGUUUCAUAUGAAAGUUUUCUUACUGUAAUAUCUCAUCAUCCCUAGUUGAAAAUAAAAGUUAAAAAGCUAUUCCUCUCUGUCCACUUUAGCAUAUUUGUUUCCAAUCCAUUAACCCUAACAAGUUAAUACAAACACAUUUGUAUAUUAAAACAAAAUAUUAAAAUGCUAUAUAUUACAGUGAUAGAAAUUACAAAUUGCAAUGUUUAUAUCAGCAACCUCUGAACUAGCCUAUUCAUUUUAGAGAACAUAUUUCAUUGCUGUAUUAUUUGUAAUGUUACAGUAAUUUUGUUUUCAUGAUAUGUAUACCAAAUGCUUUAUCAAAUGUUAUGAAGUGUUAUUACAAAUUCAUUUUCUAUAGGGAGGGGAAAUGCCUAAGCCACUGAUUCAAUGAACCCAACAUAUAUUGAUAGUUUAAUUACUGACAUGAAAAUUGUAGCUAAAAAGUGAAAAUGAAGCAUUUAUAAAGCAUACUAUAUAUAAUUUAUUGAGAAAGAGUAUAUAUUAUUCAAACAAGUGUGAAAUGACCAACUCAUACAAAGAUAUAAACUUAACUUUUAAAUAAAUCUUUUGUUGGACUAUCCUUGUGAAUAAAUUUGAAAUUAAUUUGUUAGAUUGGGGGUAGUAUCAGAGUUUAUCCCUAUUAUUAUUCUAAGUCAUAUGUUUUAUGAUAUAAAUAAAAUUUAAAAUAUGCAUGUAUAUAUAUAUGCCUAUAUAUGAUAAUAUGUGUGUGUGUAUAUAUAUAUAUAUAUAUAUAAAUGAACACACAUUUGAAUUUUAGCCCAUCCAUAAAUUAGUACAUUUAAGCUAUUAUCAUUUUUGUUAGGUAGCACCUAUUUGUCCAUGAUAUUUUCAUCAAUUUAAUUAUCAGAUCAUAGGCCUCAGAGGAAAUAAGUCGAGCUAGCUAUAUUUAGAUCAAAAUUGAAGAGUACAAAGACUGGAUGCAGAGGAAUUAUCUGAAGAAGACAGGACUAGAUUAAACAUUAUAAAGAGAAACUCAGGAAAACCUCUGGGAUUUUUUUUCAGGGAAGGGAUAAGAAUAAUAUGUAUGUAUGUAUGUAUGUAUAGUACCCAUGAAGGGAGGGAUUUCUGUUACCUUUAAGCAUCUUUUUGAUAAUUCCACGAAUGAUGAUUAGAAAUGUCCAAGAAAAGCAGUUAGAGGGUGAAUGUAAUGUGUCCAGUUUUAUUAUAUUUAGGCUGCAGCAAACAUUUAUAAGACUAUGUCACAGUUUACACUCUUUUUAAAACAGCAUUAGAGGAAUAGAUCAAAGAAAAGCAGUAGAUUGAUUUUGAUCAAAGCACUACUCAUAAGACUUCGGUGACUGACACAUCAGUGUGAACUUAUGAUAAAAGAUAUAGAUUAAUAACUAGGUGAAGGACGGUAUACAAUGGUGUCAACCUAAAGAGAGGAUUCUAGCAUAUCCCUUUAGGAUCUGAAUUCAGUUCUGUUUACUUCAGUAGUUAUAACCUAUUCACAUUUUAACUUGAAAACUAUAAAGUAGUUAGAUCCACCAUAUUUGUAUAUGACAAGAAAUCAGAGAGGCUUGGUACAUAGUUUGUGUUACAGAGUAAAGAAUCCACAGUAUUUGGACAACAAAGAGUAAAGGACCAAAACUAGUAAGCAUUUUAAAAGGAAAAAUGUAAGGUCCUGUCCUCACAUUCAAAAAGCCAGCUGUACAAAGGAUAGGAUCACUUAGCAAUAGCAUGUAUAAAAAGAGACUGCAGGUUUUACUUGACAGGACAUCAAUACCAAUCAAUAGUGUGGUAUAGCUCCAACAGAGCUAAUGGGAUCUUAUAUUUCAUGAAUAGAAAUAUAGUAACUGAAUUGAAGAGGUGAUUGGUUAUGCAGGAAUCUUGACAGUUCUGGGUACAAUACUUUGAGGAGCUUGCUGAAAUUAGAACAGAGAAUGACAACCAAAGAAAUAAAAUAAUUUUAUUUAUUAUAUAUUCAGACCUCCUAGGAACCUAACACUUCAUAACUGCUUUACUAAAGUUACACCCUUUAUCUCAAAGAAACAAGAAAAAAAAAAAAAGUGAGAUAGUUGAUGGUGAUGAAAUAUGUAUGGGUUACAUCAGGACAAGUUAUCUGCUUAUCACCCAAUGGGCUUCUAUGGUACAAAUAUACUGAUGAUUCUGCAUCUGUGUUCUGACUGCACAGUGGACCAGGGACUGGAUUAGAUCAGCACAACUUAAAUGGAUACAUUUCUCAGAGCCAACUCAAGUUCACUAAGAUCACAAAACCAAGUUUUACUCAAUUUGGCAGGUCAAUAGCUGCCGGGUCAGGGCUAUGGGGGGAACCUCAAAACUACUAGUAGAACAACACCAAAAACUAAAACUGGUAUUUUCUGUUUUCUGGACAACAGACUUUGCCACUGUCAACAUGAUGUGGAAAGUAACAUAAUGUCUUUUCUAUCAAAGGAACUUUUGGUCAUUCCAUUUUGCUCUGAUUUCAGCUGAAAUGCCUUUCUGCGAUCCCCCCUCCUCUUUCCCUCUUCUCCCAGUAACAGUUUGUUUCAAAUUAGCCAACUGAGAAGAAUGUGCACCCCGACCUGACCAAUGGGAAGGGGACCGGUACAUCACCUGCUAGGGAUAGAGAGUGAGAGUCUUUGCUUCUUUGCACACACUCUUUGAGCACCCACACCCUUCUGCAGAUGUAAAGAACCUUGUAGAGAUCUCCCCGUGUUCAUAUGUCUCAUUUUUCGAUAUUGACCAUCUGAGCCAUGUCCCUAACAGAUUUGGGGGCUCAUCCAGGAUUUGGGGUUCACUAGAGUGUGGAUUCUUGAGGAGGGGAGACGCAUCCCACAGCCUGUUGUGGUGGCCCUAAAUUGAGAAGACUGCACCUGUGAACUUCAAACCUGUGGAGGGUUCUCCACAACGUGGGAAAUUGUGUGAUGACCAGGCAACUCCAUUAAUGGACCAAGGCAGGAAAGAUCUUUGAUUGGUUGGGGAUGGGGGUUGGUAAGCCUCAAAGUGUCUCAGGUGAGACCAGUGAUUUCAGGUGAAAUCAGAGGAUCAUAACAUGAUCCUGGGAAAUGGGAAGUAAGUCGUCCUGACCUGUACCUCCAUUUGGAGUAUUGACUAGGGGAGGGGACCAAGUUCCUCCAGACCUUCCUCUGGGAUUGAUAUUAAAGUGUUGGGGCAACAAUCCAUUGAUGAAGGACAAAAAGAAGGAAAGAAUAAAUAUUGUUUUAUCUGGACACAGACACUGUUAUCGCCCCAUCUGUCUUCUGGCCAAAGUUCAGGUCAGACAAUGAUUGGGUCUGUCAGCUGCUCAGUUUGUCCAGGACAAGUCACUGGGGUUUCAGAAGGAAACUUAUUAUGCUCUCUGUUGGCAGCAGGGGACCAGUGCUCUUAUUUCCCCUCAGAUCAUGGGACCAAAAGGGAAAUGAGGAAACCCAAGAACAUUCUGGGGCCUCCUCCCCUCCAUGGGACCCCCUUGGCUCACUACCACCACCUUACAAUCCCCCAAAUGGUGCUGGCACCCCUCCAGCCAUAGCAGCCACUGCUGUUGCUGCCAGGGGUGUGCAGGUGGGGGAGAGGAGCAGAGCCACCACCCAGGCACAAGGGCACUGCCUCUGCUCACGGAGUUAACAUGGGAGGGGAGGGGUGCAGAGCCCCACACAGGCACCAGCACACUGAUGCUGCUGGCAGAGUCAGAACAGGAGGGUUAGGCUGCAGGCAUAAGCAUGCUGCCCCAGGCCAGGGGGUCAAAGUCCGCUGCCUCAACAAAACCAAAGGAUAUGGCAGAGCCUUAUUCCAGACUUAGGCAAGAGUUAAAACAAUGUCAUGAGUUCCCGUUGUGGCACAGUAGAAACAGGUCCAACUAGGAACCAUGAGGUUGUGGGGUCAAUCCCUGGCCUUGCUCAGUGGAUUAAGGAUCUAGCAUUGCCAUGAGCCAUGGUGUAGGUCACAGAUGGCUCAGAUCCCAUGUUGCUGUGGCUGUGGCGUAGGCCAGCAGCUGCAGCUCUGAUUGGACCCCUGGCUUGGGAACUUCCUUAUGCCACAGGUGUGGCCCUCAAAAUACA
rnacentral:lncRNA from 1 species